UACAGAGGGGGCAAGCGUUGUUCGGAAUUACUGGGCGUAAAGGGCGCGUAGGCGGCCUGCUAAGUCGAACGUGAAAUCCCCGGGCUCAACCCGGGAACUGCGUCCGAUACUGGUGGGCUUGGAUCCGGGAGAGGGAUGUGGAAUUCCAGGUGUAGCGGUGAAAUGCGUAGAUAUCGGGAGGAACACCAGUGGCGAAGGCGGAGACCUGGGCCGAUACUGACGCUGAGGUGCGAAAGCGUGGGGAGCAAACAGG
rnacentral:rRNA from 1 species